CAGCCUGCCCAGUGACUAAAAGUUAAACGGCCGCGGUACCCUAACCGUGCAAAGGUAGCACAAUCACUUGUUCUUUAAAUCAGGACUAGUAUGAAUGGCCUCACGAGAGCUAUACUGUCUCCCCCCUCUAAUCAGUGAACCUAAUCUCCCCGUGAAGAAGCGGGGAUACUAAUAUAAGACGAGAAGACCCCAUGGAGCUUAAAACUUGUAUCACUGCUCUCUACGAGACCUCAUGACUACUAGUCUUUCGGCUGGGGCGACCACGGAGAAAAACUUAACCUCCAUGACGAAUAUGUCAAAGAACUACCACUCUAAGAAUCAAUAAAUUGACACAUUGACCCAAAUACUGACCAACGGACCAAGUUACCCUGGGGAUAACAGCGCAAUCCAUUUCAAGAGACCCCAUCGACAAAUGGGCUUACGACCUCGAUGUUGGAUCAGGGUAUCCAAGUGGUGCAGCCGCUACUAAAGGUUCG
rnacentral:rRNA from 1 species